CGGCGCUCGGGCGUGCGGUCCCGACUGACACUUCUCAGGGCCGGUCGGCAGGGGGCGCCUGGCCACCGCGGCUGACGACCCGAGCGAUGCGGGCCUCCCUGCGACCCCACCCCGCCCCACCCCUGGGUACAACCGCCCUGUGUGCACUGGCCCGUAGCUGGGUCCGCAGAGAGGUCGUGUUUUCCCGAGAGAGCUGCUCUGAUACUGAUCUCAUCAUGAGCUCUUCCUUCAGCAGUGUGAUGCUGACACACCUCCAUCCAGAAGUGGGGUCUAUGAUCUCGCCUUUUAGAUCCAGAAAGCCCUUUGUGACUGCCUGGGCCAAGAGAAUGCAGCAGAAGUGAUGCUGCCUGACUUCCGGAGCCACGUCAGGACAGACCGUGCAGCCUCAACCUGCUGUCUUUCUUGAGCCGCAUCCCUUGGCAGUCGUGAGCAGACAGUUCAAGAUGUUUUAAAAAAAAAUAAUUACAGAGCCAUGCAGAUGGAAAGCCAGUCAUUAAAACGAUCACGUGAAAAAAAGAAUUACAUAGGUUGUCAUAGCAGGCGGAUGACGUGUGAUGAAAAGAGCAAGAUGAACACACAUGCAUGAACUCAGAUGAGGAAAACGUGAAGCUACCAACAUAGCAAAAGAAGGAGGAAGCUACUGCCCAGAGGUGAAGAGCACACAGAAAACAGGACCCUAUGCCGUUUGAAGAAAGUGAAAGUCAGUGCAAUUUCCAAGCAUUGUUCAAUAAAGAAAUUAAUGGCGGUUAAACACACAGCAAAUGGAAACAGCCAACGUCUUUGUGGACAGCUCCGGAAAUAUGCAUUAAUAAGAAUGGACCUAAUUUUUCUCCAUCGCUAAGGACAGAAGACAAGGCGUACAUGUCUUGACAGCACCGUGAGCCUUUUUGGAGAAAGAUGCUUGCUAAAUGCAAGGUCAUACCGUUGUCAUUGUUCGUAUAGCAUCACUGCCCGUGUGCAUUUGGUCCACAGCUGCUUCUCCAUGUUUCCUUCCUCUGAAGUCCAUCGCAUUCUUGAUCUCACUCCCCUGAGAAGCAAAGCACUAAGCCUUGGGGAAUGUAUUAGUUAAGCGAAGUUUAACCCCCGUGUUGUUCUGAAUGAAUGAAGAUUUGGACUAAGGAUAGGAAAGUAAGAGAGCAACUUGUAUUUUUAAAGAAUGCAGAAAAGUCCUCUUAGAAUAUGUCCUUCUAGCCUCACAAGGAAAGCCGUUGGCUGGUGAAUUCAUAAGUGUUUUUCUGGCCGAUAGUAAAACCCCACGUCCACUUGUAUGGCUGAGAUGCUGGAAAACUUGGGAAGCCAGGACCCUGAAAAAUGUAACAUGAGGGCAAUGCCUGAUAUCUCUAAUUCCUCCCCCCACCCCCAGAUUUCAGCUCCUCAUCCCUUACUCAAAUCCCAUCUUGACUGCAAGCACAUUAAAUCGACCCAUAUAUGUUUCCAAUAAAGACAUAAACGUCUCAAAUCUCUUCUAAAUUUUGCGAUCACGCUGUUGAGAAUUAUGUGGCUUUGUAAUGUUGUUUAACCGGAAAAAGCAUGUUCGUUGUGCUGUACACACUGUAAUUGACUGUACUUCAAUUUAAAAAAAAAAGCAUGUGUCCA